rnacentral:rRNA from 1 species
CUAAUACAUGCAAGUCGAGCGAAUGGAUUAAGAGCUUGCUCUUAUGAAGUUAGCGGCGGACGGGUGAGUAACACGUGGGUAACCUGCCCAUAAGACUGGGAUAACUCCGGGAAACCGGGGCUAAUACCGGAUAACAUUUUGAACCGCAUGGUUCGAAAUUGAAAGGCGGCUUCGGCUGUCACUUAUGGAUGGACCCGCGUCGCAUUAGCUAGUUGGUGAGGUAACGGCUCACCAAGGCAACGAUGCGUAGCCGACCUGAGAGGGUGAUCGGCCACACUGGGACUGAGACACGGCCCAGACUCCUACGGGAGGCAGCAGUAGGGAAUCUUCCGCAAUGGACGAAAGUCUGACGGAGCAACGCCGCGUGAGUGAUGAAGGCUUUCGGGUCGUAAAACUCUGUUGUUAGGGAAGAACAAGUGCUAG